rfam:Ovis aries breed Texel chromosome 8, whole genome shotgun sequence.
UCCCUGGUGGCUCAGAUGGUAAAGCGUCUGCCUACAAUGCACGAGACCCAGGUUCGAUCCCCGGUUUGGGAA